UAGCUACUCCCUCCGUCCGGAAAUACUUGUUCUCUAAAUGGUUAUAUCUAGACUUAUUUUAGUUAUAGAUACAUCCAUUUUAUUCAUUUGUAGGACAAGUAUUUCCGGACGGAGGGAGUACAAG
rfam:Triticum aestivum genome assembly, contig: Triticum_aestivum_CS42_TGACv1_scaffold_376868_5AL